rnacentral:tRNA from 1 species
UUUAGUCCACUCAGCCAUCUUUCC